ACGCGCCGGGUGUCAACCGGCCGCAACGGAGAAGAUGGACGCGGUUGAUUUUGCCGGUUUCUGACCGCGGCAGCAACGUAUUGGUAUGCGUGGCAUCUAACCCGUUUCCGGC
rnacentral:sRNA from 1 species